rnacentral:rRNA from 1 species
UACGGAGGGGGCUAGCGUUUUUCGGAAUUACUGGGCGUAAAGCGCGCGUAGGCGGACCUGCAAGUCGGGGGUGAAAGCCCGAGGCUCAACCUCGGAACUGCCUUCGAUACUGCGGGUCUCGAGUCCGGGAGAGGUGAGUGGAAUUCCUUGUGUAGAGGUGAAAUUCGUAGAUAUUAGGAAGAACACCAGUGGCGAAGGCGGCUCACUGGCCCGGUACUGACGCUGAGGCGCGAAAGCGUGGGGAGCGAACAGG